rnacentral:lncRNA from 1 species
UGGAAUAAUGUAUUUCUGACUGUCUUUUCUGGCUGUAUUUCUGAAGAUAUUUUAUCUUGCCCUAGCUUUCUAAAGAGAAGGACCCAGAAUUUUCUGAAAUAGCCAAAGAGGAAACAGAUUUCAGACAGGUAGCUUGAUGCUUUUUGUGAAUAAAACUAGUGUCCUGAAACACGACGUAAGUCAUUAUUUUCCAUAUUGUUUUACUGUGUGCCAUUUUGUCAAUUGAAGCAUUCUGACGUCUUUCAGGGGAAAGUAGCCAUGCUCACACAGAUGUUCCAGAAAGGUCCCAAUGAAGAAGCUCCUACUUUCAUAGUGAGUGUAUACAUUUGAGUCACUGUUGAGGUGCAACUUAAACUUUUCUGUUUCUGUUCUGUUUAUUUUCUUCUUAUCCUCAUAUUAUUAUUAUUUAAUUGCGUGUAAUACCUCCACCAGAGCUAUGUAUCAGACUCUAAUUCCCCGAAACCUAAAGAGAAGACUGAAGCUGAGAAACCCACCACUGAAAAUAAGAAGACCAGCGUGGAGACCACUCUCUCUGCUGAGGAGCCCGAACCAGAGAGGGACCAGUCUGGUGAUGAGGUCGAACUGGAGAGACCGAAGGAGGGCAAACAUGUAAGUGUGUGUGUGUGUGUGUGUGUGUGUGUGUGUGUGUGUGUGUGUGUGUGUGUGUGUGCGCAUAUGAGUGGCAGAGAUGGAAAAGAGCCAGCAACUACCAGGUGGUGUUCAAGCCCUGAACUGGAAGUAAAUCCAUUCUCUGUGUUCUUUCAGGGGAAAGGGGGGUUCAUGGCUGGAAUGUUCAGAGGCAUCCAGAAAGAGAAGACAACCGCUCCUCUCGUAAGGGUAUGUAUGUGUGUAUAAAAGUACGGAUAUAUUUUAAUGGGCUACGUUGGUUCUACAACAAAAUUCAGUUAAAUAUUUUGCAGUAGAUGUCAUUAUGAUUAUAACUAUUCGACUGAAGCAGGGUUCAACCUUCUAAACUGCCUAAGUAGGG